CAGAUCUAUUUGUGUUUACCUCUGGGAGGUUCAGCACACACACAUCUGUACAUACAUUACAUGAAUUAAAAUUUUAUGCAUGGCCACACGUAAAUCAUUUAGAGGCCUUUUGCUGCCACUUCUAUGGUCGACACUUUGGUUUCUUGUCCUCUCAGACCAGCAGGUGGAGGUGAAGGUGAGGGAAGGAUCAGAGUCUGUCAUCCUGCCCUGCAAAACAAAACCCAACCUGCCUGAGAAUACCACAGUGGAGUGGACUCGCUCUGACCUCGGACUCAUCACAGUCCAUGAGUAUUCUAACAGAAAUGAUGACCUUAUGACUCAGGAUGAAGUUUACACAAAUAGAACAAAGAUGAAUGAAGACCUGCUGAGAACUGGAGACCUCAGUCUGACCCUGAAAUACCCCAAAGUCAAAGACACGGGACGAUACAUCUGCAACAUCUACAGGGACAAAGACAUCCUGAGACAGAAAGUCAUGCUGCAGGUCAAAAAACCAUUUCCAUCCUGGUUCAAAGAUCUUCUGGUUCUCCUGUUUGUCUUUGUGAUUUUUGGAGGUCUUUUAUAUUAUUUACGUCACUAUUACAUGUCAGGUAAGUGUCUUUCCUACUACACUACCCAUAAUACCACUGGUUAA
rnacentral:lncRNA from 1 species